CCUACGGGAGGCAGCAGUCGAGAAUCAUUCACAAUGGGGGAAACCCUGAUGGUGCGACGCCGCGUGGGGGAAUGAAGGUCUUCGGAUUGUAAACCCCUGUCAUGUGGGAGCAAAUUAAAAAGAUAGUACCACAAGAGGAAGAGACGGCUAACUCUGUGCCAGAAGCCGCGGUAAUACAGAGGUCUCAAGCGUUGUUCGGAAUCACUGGGCGUAAGGCGUGCGUAGGCUGUUUCGUAAGUCGUGUGUGAAAGGCGCGGGCUCAACCCGCGGACGGCACAUGAUACUGCGAGACUAGAGUAAUGGAGGGGGAACCGGAAUUCUCGGUGUAGCAGUGAAAUGCGUAGAUAUCGAGAGGAACACUCGUGGCGAAGGCGGGUUCCUGGACAUUAACUGACGCUGAGGCACGAAGGCCAGGGGAGCGAAAGGGAUUAGAUACCCCUGUAGUC
rnacentral:rRNA from 1 species